rnacentral:tRNA from 6 species
GCCCCGGUAGCUCAGUGGAUAGAGCGUCUGCCUCCGGAGCAGAAGGUCGCAGGUUCGAAUCCUGUCCGGGGCGCCA